rnacentral:misc_RNA from 1 species
AAGUCGUAACAAGGUUUCCGUAGGUGAACCUGCGGAAGGAUCAUUAUCACGUAUCCACGUAUAAACCAUUGUGAACCGUUCUUGCCUUUGAGACUACAUGGAGUGUGCAAUUACAGACACAUGAAACUCUUUCUUGCGAUUUAUAGUUUCGUUUGUUUUUGCCAAGGGCGCGUCCUGCACCUGUAGUUUCAAAGCGUAUCCAUAAAUCCGCACUUUGAUUAACAAUUUGAACAACACCUUUUAAACUUUGAACUGACUUGUUUCUUACUCUUUUCGAAGAGAAGAAAUUCAUUACGAAAC